UACAGGCGGAGCUCGUCAAGAAUCUCAAGUGAAGCAGCGACCUUGGCUACCACUAGGGUUGUAGGCGGCGCGUUCUUCCAUUUAGCUUUAAGAUCGAUGCAAAGAAAGGAGACUACCAAGUGACUUUCAAAGACUCAAAAGUAUGGGUGAAGGGCGUAGAUCUUCGGCACGGGUACCACGGAAGGAAAAUUGUGUAACUGGGCGGACUCAGUUUCAAACGGGUACCUCAUCUCAGCCUCUCGAGCUUGAUAUGCCUGCGAGAAUUUAUGAGUUGCUUCAAGAGUUGCAUGUUCAGCUUGAUCGCCAAUUCCAGACAAUGAAUCAAAAAAUGGAUCGUUUGGAAUAUGGGCUUACACUGCUGAUGGAUGAAUCUCAACGGCAGCAGUACCAAAUAUUCAAGCAACAGCAGCUGAUGGACAAUAAUAAUAUGGAAGACGAAGAAGGGGGAGAAGAUGAGGACCAACAAGAGCAUCACAAUGAAAGAACCCAGAAAGGGCAAAAUGGUGGGGGAGAGCAUGAGCGGAGGACCAAGGCUCGACGCUCGUAGAUAAUGAGUGGCUACGGUUGUGAAUUGUGAUCCAACUGUUAGUGACUGUCUGUUCAGUUUCCUUUUAACCCUUUUGUUAGUUGGCUGUGAAUUAGUGGUUCAUGUAAACUUAAAAAAGGAGUUCUGAUCCUUGUUUUGGUCUUUUGCGGUGCCGAUGAAACUAAGCUGCUAUGUGAUGUUUGCAUUCAAUGUGUGGUUAACUUUUGGUGGUACUGUAAAUUCUUCUGUUUCGCA